GAGAUGUUGGGUUAAGUCCCGCAACGAGCGCAACCCUUGUCUUUAGUUACCAUCAUUCAGUUGGGGACUCUAGAGAGACUGCCGGUGAUAAACCGGAGAAGGUGGGGAUGACGUCAAAUCAUCAUGCCCCUUAUGGCCUGGGCUACAAACGUAAUACAAUGGCGUAUACAAAGGGAUGCGAAAGGGCGACCUGGAGCAAAACUCACAAAAGUACGUCUCAGUUCAGAUUGGAGUCUGCAACUCGACUCCAUGAAGGCGGAAUCGCUAGUAAUCGCGGAUCAGCAUGCCGCGGUGAAUACGUUCUCGGGGUUU
rnacentral:rRNA from 1 species